CCUACGGGUGGCAGCAGUGAGGAAUAUUGGUCAAUGGGCGAGAGCCUGAACCAGCCAAGUCGCGUGAAGGAUGAAGGAUCUAUGGUUUGUAAACUUCUUUUAUAUGGGAAUAAAGUGAGGAACGUGUUCCUUUUUGUAUGUACCAUAUGAAUAAGCAUCGGCUAACUCCGUGCCAGCAGCCGCGGUAAUACGGAGGAUGCGAGCGUUAUCCGGAUUUAUUGGGUUUAAAGGGUGCGCAGGCGGGAGAUCAAGUCAGCGGUAAAAUGUCGGGGCUCAACCCCGGCCGGCCGUUGAAACUGGUUUUCUAGAGUUGGAGAGAAGUAUGCGGAAUUCGUGGUGUAGCGGUGAAAUGCUUAGAUAUCACGAAGAACUCCGAUUGCGAAGGCAGCUUACUAAACUGCCACUGACAUUGAUGCUCGAAAGUGUGGGUAUCAAACAGGAUUAGAUACCCGAGUAGUC
rnacentral:rRNA from 1 species